UACGGAGGGAGCUAGCGUUGUUCGGAUUCACUGGGCGUAAAGGGUGCGUAGGUGGUUGGGUAAGUCUGGUGUGAAAUCUCCGAGCUUAACUCGGAAAUGGCAUUGGAUACUAUUCAGCUAGAGAGUUGGAGGGGGGACUGGAAUACUUGGUGUAGCAGUGAAAUGCGUAGAUAUCAAGUGGAACACCAGUGGCGAAGGCGAGUCCCUGGACAACUUCUGACACUGAGGCACGAAAGCUAGGGGAGCAAAC
rnacentral:rRNA from 1 species